rnacentral:rRNA from 1 species
UCAGUCGACUCCUACGGGGAGGCAGCAGUGGGGGAAUAUUGCACAAUGGGCGCAAGCCUGAUGCAGCCAUGCCGCGUGUGUGAAGAAGGCCUUCGGGUUGUAAAGCACUUUCAGUCGUGAGGAAGGUGGUAGUGUUAAUAGCACUAUCAUUUGACGUUAGCGACAGAAGAAGCACCGGCUAACUCCGUGCCAGCAGCCGCGGUAAUACGGAGGGUGCGAGCGUUAAUCGGAAUUACUGGGCGUAAAGCGCAUGCAGGUGGUUUGUUAAGUCAGAUGUGAAAGCCCGGGGCUCAACCUCGGAAUAGCAUUUGAAACUGGCAGACUAGAGUACUGUAGAGGGGGGUAGGAAUUUCAGGUGUAGCGGUGAAAUGCGUAGAGAUCUGAAGGAAUACCGGUGGCGAAGGCGGCCCCCUGGACAGAUACUGACACUCAGAUGCGAAAGCGUGGGGAGCAAACAGGAUUAGAUACCCUGGUAG